rnacentral:rRNA from 1 species
GGCGAACGGGUGAGUAAUACAUAAGCAAUCUGCCCAUAUGCCUGGGAUAACCGUUGGAAACGAUGGCUAAUACCGGAUAGUUGACCCGAAGGCCUCUUCGGAUUAUUAAAGUUGGGAUACAACACAUAUGGAUGAGCUUAUGGCGCAUUAGCUAGUUGGUGAGGUAACGGCUCACCAAGGCGAUGAUGCGUAGCCGACCUGAGAGGGUGACCGGCCACACUGGGACUGAGACACGGCCCAAACUCCUACGGGAGGCAACAGUAGGGAAUUUUCGGCAAUGGGGGAAACCCUGACCGAGCAACGCCGCGUGAGUGAAGAAGGCCUUCGGGUUGUAAAGCUCUGUUGUAGGGGAAGAAUAUAUCAUAGAGGGAAUGCUAUGAUUGUGACGGUACCU